CCUACGGGGGGCUGCAGUGAGGAAUAUUGGUCAAUGGGCGGGAGCCUGAACCAGCCAAGUCGCGUGAGGGAUGACGGCCCUAUGGGUUGUAAACCUCUUUUGCCGGGGAGCAAAGUGCCUCACGUGUGCGGUUUGGAGAGUACCCGUCGAAAAAGCAUCGGCUAACUCCGUGCCAGCAGCCGCGGUAAUACGGAGGAUGCGAGCGUUAUCCGGAUUUAUUGGGUUUAAGGGGUGCGUAGGCGGACGCUUAAGUCAGCGGUAAAAUUGCGGGGCUCAACCCCGUACUGCCGUUGAAACUGCAUCCCUUGAGUGCGCGAGAAGUAUGCGGAAGGCGUGGUGUAGCGGUGAAAUGCAUAGAUAUCACGCAGAACUCCGAUUGCGAAGGCAGCAUACCGGCGCGCAACUGACGCUCAUGCACGAAAGCGUGGGUAUCGAACAGGAUUAGAUACCCUUGUAGUC
rnacentral:rRNA from 1 species